rnacentral:lncRNA from 1 species
AUUCUUUUACUGUAUUUUUUCCACCAAGAUACACUUUGUAGAGGACCUUUCUCUGGAGUAAUACAAAGAGAAAGAAAUUGAAAGUAACAUUUGGAAAUUGAAAAGAUUUACCUAUUUAUUUGAGAACAAGAGAAAAAGUGAGAAGAGGGACAGAGGGAAGAAAUUUCAAGCAGACUCCACUGAGAGCAAAGCCCCAUUUUGGGCUGGAUUUCAAACCCCAUGAGAUCGCGACCUGAGCCAAAACCAAGAGCUGCCAACUGUUAACCAACUGACCCACCUCAGUGUCCCAGUGUUUUUACUUCUGAUAGGAUUUCUAGUUUCUCUCAUGUAUGUAUUUGUGUG